GCGGGAGUGGUGGAAUUGGCAGACACGUACGUUUGAGGUGCGUAUGGGUUACACCGUGGGGGUUCGAAUCCCCCCUCCCGCACCA
rnacentral:tRNA from 1 species